UUACCCGUUUACUAGUCAUUCGGACGGUAAACGACACUUACUCUCACUUUUUACUUUGUUUCGAUACUUUUAGUGGCCCUAAAAGUUGACUUUUUGUUCGGGUCAAAAUUUGAGAAAAUUUCCUUCAUGAAAGUUGUAGAGGACGUUAAACCGAGCGCGUGCAUAUGUGGUACGUAAAAAUCGGAGUUGUAACGAAGAAGUUAUAAGGGUUUUAUUUUAGUGGCAGUUUUGUAAUUUUUUGGAAUUUAUGUCUAUAAAUAGAAAUUUGGACUUUCCAUUUCGGGAAAGCCCCAAAAAUUUCCAGCUUUCUUCCUCUCUCGCCGAUGUAACCUCCCGGCGUUACCACCGCCUCGUCCGGCCACCUAUGGCCAUGAAAUUGGUGUCCAUCUCUUCGUCUUGAAACAAGGUUUCUAUCCAUAUAUGCCUUGCACCUUAUCAUUCACCAUAGACGACGAAUCAAAGCGAAGAAGAUUACUGUAGCAGUUCGGCAUUUCCGGCGUUUUCUUCCGAUUCCGGCCGUCUCCGGCCACCAAACCGGUGUCGAAGGUUCGGUUUUUGCCAAGGAUCAUUUUGCCCCUAGCCUUAAGCCACGAUUUGCAGCGUGGAGGAAGAAUCGAAGAGAUGAAUUUCUGGGUUACUAUUCACCGGUCGGGUUCAACAUUCUCCUUAAUUGUUGAGGGCGAUGUGCCGAGCUACUGCUCGACGUAGGAAACCGGUAGCGUGGUCGCCUAAAUAGUACUUUUGCAGGCCAGUUUAGCUUGAGGUCGAGCGUACAUGGGGUUGACGCAUAGCUGUCAUAGCUUCC